AGGUUGGUGUGACUCAGAACCAUAGCAGCUGGAGGAGGAGCAGAUGAUGGAGUUCUGGGUUCCAGUAGAACCGGGUCCAACGGGCUGUCAGGUGCAGAAACGCUGCCACCUCCAGCUGGCUGAUGCGUUUUCUCGUCCUGCGCUGCAGAUCAUUAGAGAGCAGACCGUCGCUGCAGAUUUCCAUCCUCUCAGCGGCGUUUCCUCCCCUCAGCGGGUGACAGCAGCGAUCCGGGCAGCAGCUUCCUCACGCUCUCCACCCCCUGCUGCAUUCUGACACGCUGCCAACAACUCUGCUCUGCAACACUUUCAACAUCAGUAACACCUGAACACUGACCCAAACCACCUUGAAAUAUUUGAUGCUACAACCAAGAACUGAGUUCAACAACAAUAACAGGUGGUUUUACUACUAAAGAACAAACUCUGAACUAAUACUUUAAGGCUAAAUCCCUCCUCUGCAGCAUUCUGUGCAGCUAAUCCUUAGAAAUAAAAACAAACCCAACCUGUUACACUUUUCUCUUAUGUUACAUAAUUCAUGGCAUGCUAGAGCGUUUCUGAUGUAUUUUUACUUGCAGUAAUCCGGUGAAUGCAGAAGUUUAUUUGCAGAUUAGUGAGUCAUCAAUACAUGGAGCCUAACUGCUGCCAGAGACAUAAUGCCACAGUGAGUCAUCAACCAAAGCCAAUUAGGGCUGCAGUGUUUGUGGCACCCAGUGGGUGAGUGGGCAUCUGCGGUACCGGAGCAGACGUGACGAGGUCAACAGACGCGCAUGGCCGCAUUAAGUCAGCACACGCUGUGCGGCGAGCCUUAACGAGCGCUGCCGUCCUGAUAGAUCGGCCCACACAGGCUUCCCAAGGUUGCCAUUUUCCUGUCAACUUCUCCACCAGAACAGUUUGACAACAGAGCGUCGCCGCUGCCAGCUCUCCGCUGAGCGACUGGAGCACAAACAGAUAACUAAUAACCAAAGCUGUAAGAGGAGCAGGCAGACUUUCUGAUGAUGUACGUGUGAAGCAGCAGGUCCUGCAGGCCUUUUCUUCAAACAGCAGACACAUAAAACUGAGUCAUUCUGCUACUGUAAGAGCUGCUCCAACGUUUAUUAGGAAUACGUUUGUUUUUCAGAAAGACUGAUAUUCACUUUCUUCCUCUUUCCAUCAGUGAACAUGUCAUUAUUACAUCUGUGCAGUAAUCAUAAAUCUGCUGCCAGUCAAGCUUAACAAAGCUCAAACUUCAGAGAACUUUGAACUGAACAAUGACGCGUUUUACUGACAAACUUAAAAUGAAUGCAGCUUUAAUGAUUCUCUAUUUGUGUUCUGAACCAAAGAUUUUCACAGUGUUUACAGGAGCAAACUCUGGAUGUUGGAUGCAUUUUUCCCUCCAGCUGAGCAGAGUGACAGGCAGGAGAUACACUAAGGACAUUUAAACCUUAGAUACGCUCCUGGUUGUUAGCAGAUCUUUUCCUGCUCAGUUCGUUUCUUUGUGUUCAGUUUCUUUUUUUUCUUGUUUCUGUUCUUUCUGCAGUUAAAUGAAUGAAUCUUCGAUCGCUGUUAUUUUCUCCUCUUAGUUUGCAGUUUGAAAGUAAUUCAUUAUUUUCCUUCUAUUUUCCAAAUCUUUAUAAAAACACUGACGCUGCUGGUUUCACUGUGACUAAGUUUAAAAAGGUGAAGAGUUGUGCAUUCUUUUGAGACACUUUGUAAAGUUUGGAAACUCAAACUUUGACAUGGGCAAAUAGAAAGUGUUCUGAAGAAAA